rnacentral:rRNA from 1 species
UCAGACGAUGCGUCAUGCAUAUCAAUAAGCGGAGGAAAAGAAACUAACAAGGAUUCCCCUAGUAACGGCGAGUGAAGCGGGAAGAGCUCAAAUUUGAAAUCUUAAAGGGUUUCCCUUUACGAAUUGUAGUUUAAAGAAGUGUUUUCUGUUGAGGUUUUGGUAAAAGUUCUUUGGAAUAGGACAUCAUAGAGGGUGAGAAUCCCGUAUUUGACCUUUACUUUCAACUUUGUGAUACACUUUCAAAGAGUCGGAUUGUUUGGGAAUGCAGUCCAAAAUGGGUGGUAAAUUUCAUCUAAAGCUAAAUAUUGGCGAGAGACCGAUAGCGAACAAGUACCGUGAGGGAAAGGAUGUAAAGAACUUUGAAAAGAGAGUUAAACAGUACGUGAAAUUGUCAAAAGGGAAGCGUUUGACACCAGUGUUGUUUUUCUGAAAAUCAAUUAAAGAACUGUUUAUGCUAAGUUGUUUAGACUUUAUCAGCUAUCUGUUUAGUUUUGAGCUUUUCUUUAAUGCACUUUUCAGUUAACAAGUCAACAUCAAUUUCUUUUGCUGUAAAAAAGCUUGAGGAAGGUGGCCUGAGAUUCGUCUUAAGUGUUUAUAGCCUCUUGCCUAUGCAGUCGGAGAGAUUGAGGUCUGCAGCGUAGAUCCUUCGGGGCUAAAUGCAUUUGUGCUAAGUUAUAGCAUUUUAUAGACAACUUGUUGACUAUGAUUUGUCUUGUAGCUUACUCGCUUAUGUUAUUUUACCUACGCUUAGGAUGUUGACACACGCGCGUGCUCG